AGACGCGCGAUAGGAUGGCGCAGACACGAAAAACUACAUAAAAAUUUAGUAUACCACCCAUAUAGGUUUGAAAAAUCCGACUGCAGAGGAUUGACCCAGCAAUGCGAACCAAAUGAAAGCCUUCAAGCCUUUGUUUCAAGUUGGGUCAACCAUUUAGGAUCCAAAGAAGCUUUAAGUGGUUGUAGCAUUAUUUGUGCCCAGAUAUGGCUGUAAAUUUGAAGCAACAGCCAGAAAACAAUAUGUCCAACUCCAAUGUAUGGCACAUGAGGGGUUUUCCUGUUUGGAUAGUGGGCUGUGGUUAAGCUCAAGGUGGCCCUACUUGGAAGCUUCCCCAGAUGGAGUCGUGUCAUGUGACUGUCAUGGAACCGGGGUGUGUGAAAUCAAGAGCAAAUAGUAUGAAGUCAGUCUGAAGAUGUGUGCUGGACAGCCUGGCUUUUGUCUCAUCAAGGAUGGAGAUACUGUACAACUAGAUAGAAAGCAUCCUUACUAUUAUCAGGUCUAGACUCAACUUCACAUUGUGGAUGUGCAAUAUUGUGAUUUUUGUAGUAUUAAAUGAAAAUGUUAAUUAUGUUGAAAUAAUUUUGCCAGAGGAUCAGCUCUGGGAAACUACAACUCCCAACGUUCAGCAGUACUUUACAUGGUGCAUCCUACCUGAAAUCUUGGAUAUUCCAGGAUAUUCCAUAAAAUCUAAACUAAAAAAAUAUAUAGUUUUGUUUGAUUGAUGAAAUAAAAAUAUUUUAAAAAUUGGACUGGAUUCUGUUUUUGAUCAAACCAAUUGGAGGUGUUUGUCUCUAAUUUUUUUUUUCUUUUUUUCAGAUAGGUAAAAAGAGGUUUUUCACUAUCUUGACAUGUUUCAGCUACACGCUUCCUUCCUCAAAAAGGUCACGUGAUGUUGUGACAUUUCUUGACAGCUGUUUUAUUCGGGCCUGCCAGGCAGCAGAGGGCACGGUCUUCCCUUGCUGUUAAACAUAGUUGACAGUAUUAGCCUGAUAAGAUUAUGUUUGUCUCUGUUUUUGG